UUAAAGUUGUUGCUGUUACAAAAGCUCGUAGUUGAACCUUGGGCCUGGCUGGCCGGUCCGCCUCACCGCGUGCACUGGUCCGGCCGGGCCUUUCCUCCUGGAGAACCGCAUGUUCUUUAUUGAGCGUGCUGGGGAACCAGGACUUUUACUUUGAAAAAAUUAGAGUGUUCAAAGCAGGCCUAUGCUCGAAUACAUUAGCAUGGAAUAAUG
rnacentral:rRNA from 1 species